GACGAACGCUGGCGGCGUGCUUAACACAUGCAAGUCGAACGGAAAGGCCCUGCUUUUGUGGGGUGCUCGAGUGGCGAACGGGUGAGUAACACGUGAGUAACCUGCCCUUGACUUUGGGAUAACUUCAGGAAACUGGGGCUAAUACCGGAUAGGAGCUCCUGCUGCAUGGUGGGGGUUGGAAAGUUUCGGCUGUUGGGGAUGGACUCGCGGCUUAUCAGCUUGUUGGUGGGGUAGUGGCUUACCAAGGCUUUGACGGGUAGCCGGCCUGAGAGGGUGACCGGCCACAUUGGGCCUGAGAUACGGCCCAGACUCCUACGGGAGGCAGCAGUGGGGAAUAUUGCACAAUGGGCGGAAGCCUGAUGCAGCAACGCCGCGUGCGGGAUGACGGCCUUCGGGUUGUAAACCGCUUUCGCCUGUGACGAAGCGUGAGUGACGGUAAUGGGUAAAGAAGCACCGGCUAACUACGUG
rnacentral:rRNA from 1 species